CAGAUCCCCAUGAUGUGUUGUUCUGGUGGCUGAAUAUGUGUCCUCUUCCUCUCACCUUUCCAUUCUCAGGGCUGCUGAACAGUUGCCACUCCUGUGAAGGGAGACCACUGAGCUUGAAGGCAGUUUGGUGACCACAGAACCCACAAUACAGAUCGGGGUGAGAUCCAUAUUCAGCGUGCCAACUAUGGUCGUUGUCAACACGAUGUGUGUUCCAUUAGGCACCCACAGGAAC